rnacentral:rRNA from 1 species
GAUGAACGCUAGCUACAGGCUUAACACAUGCAAGUCGAGGGGAAACGACAUCGAAAGCUUGCUUUUGAUGGGCGUCGACCGGCGCACGGGUGAGUAACGCGUAUCCAACCUGCCCACCACUUGGGGAUAACCUUGCGAAAGUAAGACUAAUACCCAAUGACGUCUCUAGAAGACAUCUGAAAGAGAUUAAAGAUUUAUCGGUGAUGGAUGGGGAUGCGUCUGAUUAGCUUGUUGGCGGGGUAACGGCCCACCAAGGCAACGAUCGGUAGGGGUUCUGAGAGGAAGGUCCCCCACAUUGGAACUGAGACACGGUCCAAACUCCUACGGGAGGCAGCAGUGAGGAAUAUUGGUCAAUGGACGAGAGUCUGAACCAGCCAAGUAGCGUGCAGGAUGACGGCCCUAUGGGUUGUAAACUGCUUUUAUGCGGGGAUAAAGUGAGCCUCGUGAGGCUUUUUGCAUGUACCUUAUGAAUAAGGACCGGCUAAUUCCGUG